AUCGAACGCUGGCGGCAGGCCUAACACAUGCAAGUCGAGCGUAGCGUCGGACGAGUGAGUAAUGCCUAGGAAUCAGCCUGUUAGUGGGGUAUCCAGUCGGGAAACGGGCGCUAAUACCGCAUAAUAUCAGAUGAGCCUAGGUCGUAUUAGCUAGUUGGUGGGGUAAGGGCUUACCAAGGCGACGAGGCAUAGCUGGUCUGAGAGCAUGAUCAGCCACACUGGGACUGAGACACGGUCCAGACUCCUACGGGAGGCAGCAGUAGGGAAUAUUCGACAAUGGACGAAAGUCUGACCGAGCCAUGCCGCGUGUGUGAAGAAGGUCUUCGGAUCGUAAAGCUCUUUUGUUAGGGAAGCGGUACCUAACGAGUAAGCCCCGGCUAACUUCGUGCCAGCAGCCGCGGUAAUAC
rnacentral:rRNA from 1 species